UAAAAGGCGAGGAACGGGAGGAGUACCGGUCUCCAACCGGUCACAGAGAGCUGGGGGUUGGUGGGAACCAGUCCGGAGGACCGGGAAAUACACCUGGGAGCCGCUCUUCCGAAAAACAGCCACCUAUUCUUCCCGCGCCGCAAGUCCCGGCUUUUAAGCCUAAGGAGGAAGGUGCAGUUAGUAUCCGAGGCGGCUCUGAGGGAGACUGUUGAGUAGGAAGAGACAGUUUGUCCUGUUAAAGACUCGAAAGAGGCCUUACCUCUUCAGUGAGGCUAUUAGGGUGGUACCGCGGGAAUCGCUCUCGCCCCUAGA
rnacentral:ncRNA from 1 species